AGUGAACGCUGGCGGUAGGCCUAACACAUGCAAGUCGAACGGCAGCACAGUAAGAGCUUGCUCUUACGGGUGGCGAGUGGCGGACGGGUGAGGAAUACAUCGGAAUCUACUUUUUCGUGGGGGAUAACGUAGGGAAACUUACGCUAAUACCGCAUACGACCUACGGGUGAAAGCAGGGGAUCUUCGGACCUUGCGCGAUUGAAUGAGCCGAUGUCGGAUUAGCUAGUUGGCGGGGUAAAGGCCCACCAAGGCGACGAUCCGUAGCUGGUCUGAGAGGAUGAUCAGCCACACUGGGACUGAGACACGGUCCAGACUCCUACGGGAGGCAGCAGUGGGGAAUAUUGGACAAUGGGCGCAAGCCUGAUCCAGCCAUACCGCGUGGGUGAAGAAGGCCUUCGGGUUGUAAAGCCCUUUUGUUGGGAAAGAAAAGCAGCAGGUUAAUACCCCGCUGUUCUGACGGUACCCAAAGAAUAAGCACCGGCUAACUUCGUGC
rnacentral:rRNA from 1 species